rnacentral:lncRNA from 1 species
CCGAGCUCCUGGCUUCCAGACAGCAACUUUAUUCUGUUACAGCGUUCUAGCUGCUGAAACAUCCUUUUGUUGCAGGGCCGAGAUUUUAUCUCUUGUUCUUCGUUUGCCUCUGUGGCCACAGAAGAUUACAGGACAGAUUCACAUACUGAAGAAGUGAUUGAAUGUAUGUGACAAGAGUAAAGACUGCAAUGGAAGUCACCGUUGUCUCCAAGGUCAGUGAAAGAGGAUAUGGCCAGGACAACAACUAAACAAAGGACUUCUCCAGAAGCACUAGAAAUGAACUUUAUGGUCACAUCAAAAUUCAAGAGGAUGAGCAGGAUACAACAGAAGAGACAGG